rnacentral:rRNA from 1 species
CCUACGGGUGGCAGCAGUGGGGGAUAUUGCACAAUGGGGGGAACCCUGAUGCAGCGACGCCGCGUGGGUGAAGAAGCGCCUCGGCGCGUAAAGCCCUGUCAGCAGGGAAGAAAAUGACGGUACCUGAAGAAGAAGCCCCGGCUAACUACGUGCCAGCAGCCGCGGUAAUACGUAGGGGGCAAGCGUUAUCCGGAUUUACUGGGUGUAAAGGGGGCGCAGACGGCGGUGCAAGUCAGGAGUGAAAGGCGGGGGCCCAACCCCCGGACUGCUCUUGGAACUGCGCGGCUGGAGUGCAGGAGGGGCAAGCGGAAGUCCUGGUGUAGCGGUGAAAUGCGUAGAUAUCAGGAGGAACACCAGUGGCGAAGGCGGCCUGCUGGACUGCAACUGACGUUGAGGCCCGAAAGCGUGGGGAGCAAACAGGAUUAGAUACCCCAGUAGUC